UGGACUCGCCAGAUCCUCCUCCGCAGCGCAGUGGAGGAAGAUCUGGCAAUGCGAGACUAGUUCAUGUGUAAUUAUGAUGUUUCAUGGGUGCCACAUCAUGUACUGAAGAGCAGUAGUGCUCCUGGUGAAUAGAAGCUACACCAGGCAGUGAGCAGUACAAAAAAUAACAGGAAGGAUAAGAUGAUUCGCCAGCUGAUGUGUGGUGAGCGUCUGGCGUCAUAAGGCUGCCGUGCAUCACCCAGGUGGGUGCUACACAUAGGUGGUGGUAGAGAGUAGUACCCCAAAAAUCAUUUUU